rnacentral:rRNA from 1 species
AUGAAGCUGGAAUUGCUGUAAUGGCAGGUCAGCAUACUGCCGUGAAUACGUUCCCGGGGCCCUUGUACACACCGCCCGUCACACCAUGAGAGUUGGGAAUACCCGAAGCCUGUGAGCUAACUUUUAGAGGCAGCAGUCGAAGGUAGAAUCAAUGAUUGGGGUGAAGUCGUAACAAGGUACC